rnacentral:misc_RNA from 1 species
GGAAGGAAGGACGAAGCAGCGUCGGAGGUGUUUACGCUAAAAUUUGCUGCCUCGGCACUCUUCCCGCCAGCCAGCCGGGGAUUAAAUUUCAGCUGACGCAGCAUGCACAGAACCCCGUAUAUAAGAUCUUCCACGUUAAAUACAAUUCCGGAAAACAAAUCAGUGUAAUUUAAAACGUGAUAAACACUAAGAAUAACAGUAAUAUAUAUAAAUAUGACGAAAUAAACAUUAAUAGUUUGUAAAGUGUUCGAUCAGCGGCAACUCUCCCGCACGUUCCUCCGCCGCCUGCUGCAUGUGCUUACCCGCCACGGAUAAUGUGAUGUCAUUUGUAGUUGUGGAGUUUCUGGAUGAAAAGGCAGUUGAAGUUGUUCCCAAGUCAUGGAUAAUGCAUAAAGAAAAAGGUCUGUUUUGUUACUGGCCUCCAAGGGCAGGUGCUGCAGCCAAGGUGAAAAGGAAGAAAUCCCAGAUAAAGAAAAAUGGAAUUCAUACGAGAUAAGGAUUUU